rnacentral:misc_RNA from 1 species
GUAUUAUGUUUACAGGCAUAUAAAGUGCCUAACUAUCACAUUCUGAUACUUUAUGUGGAGUAUAUGAAAACAUAGGCCUGAAAUGUAAAGAAAAGCCGGCAUUAUACACGGCAGUUCCUUUGACCGAGUUAACCUCGAGAGGUAUUCAGAUCUACACAAAGUGCACAGGUGGUUAAUAAAGUCGGAAUAGGCGUGCACAUGCUCCGAAGAGCCAGCAACAGUCUAAACCUAGUUUAUUCGAUAAUGAUCCUUCCGCAGGUUCACCUACGGAAA